rnacentral:rRNA from 1 species
GACGAACGCUGGCGGCGUGCCUAACACAUGCAAGUCGAACGGAGAUAUGAUUUCGGUUGUAUCUUAGUGGCGAACGGGUGAGUAACGCGUGAGCAACCUGACUCUUAGAGGGGGAUAACACCCGGAAACGAGUGCUAAUACCGCAUAAGACCACGACAUGGCAUCAUGACGAGGUCAAAGGAGCAAUCCGCUGAGAGAGGGGCUCGCGUCCCAUUAGAUAGAUGGCGGGGUAACGGCCCACCAUGUCAGCGAUGGGUAGCCGAGCUGAGAGGCUGAUCGGCCACACUGGAACUGAGACACGGUCCAGACUCCUACGGGAGGCAGCAGUGGGGAAUAUUGGGCAAUGGGCGCAAGCCUGACCCAGCAACGCCGCGUGAGGGAAGAAGGCUUUCGGGUUGUAAACCUCUGUCCUUGGUGACGAAAAAAAUGACGGUAGCCAAGGAGGAAGCCCCGGCUAACUACGUG